rnacentral:rRNA from 1 species
ACGCACGCUGGCGGCGUGCUUCACCCCUGCCAGUCGAACGGAAAGGCCCUGCUUUUGUGGGGUGCUCGAGUGGCGAACGGGUGAGUAACACGUGAGUAACCUGCCCUUGACUUUGGGAUAACUUCAGGAAACUGGGGCUAAUACCGGAUAGGAGCUCCUGCUGCAUGGUGGGGGUUGGAAAGUUUCGGCGGUUGGGGAUGGACUCGCGGCUUAUCAGCUUGUUGGUGGGGUAGUGGCUUACCAAGGCUUUGACGGGUAGCCGGCCUGAGAGGGUGACCGGCCACAUUGGGACUGAGAUACGGCCCAGACUCCUACGGGAGGCAGCAGUGGGGAAUAUUGCACAAUGGGCAGAAGCCUGAUGCAGCAACGCCGCGUGCGGGAUGACGGCCUUCGGGUUGUAAACCGCUUUCGCCUGUGACGAAGCGUGAGUGACGGUAAUGGGUAAAGAAGCACCGGCUAACUACGUG